rnacentral:rRNA from 1 species
AGUAGUUUGACUCCGUGGCUACGAGGACGAACGCUGGCGGCGUGCUUAACACAUGCAAGUCGAACGGUGAACUCCAGCUUGCUGGGGGAUCAGUGGCGAACGGGUGAGUAACACGUGAGCAACCUACCCUUGACUUUGGGAUAACUCCGGGAAAUCGGGGCUAAUACUGGAUAUGACCUUCUGCCGCAUGGUGGGGGUGGAAAGAUUUAUCGGUCAGGGAUGGGCUCACGGCCUAUCAGCUUGUUGGUGGGGUAAUGGCCUACCAAGGCGACGACGGGUAGCCGGCCUGAGAGGGCGACCGGCCACACUGGGACUGAGAUACGGCCCAGACUCCUACGGGAGGCAGCAGUGGGGAAUAUUGCACAAUGGGCGAAAGCCUGAUGCAGCGACGCCGCGUGAGGGAUGACGGCCUUCGGGUUGUAAACCUCUUUCAGUAGGGAAGAAGCGAAAGUGACGGUACCUGCAGAAGAAGCGCCGGCUAACUACGUG